AGUGAACGCUGGCGGUAGGCCUAACACAUGCAAGUCGAACGGCAGCACAGUAAGAGCUUGCUCUUACGGGUGGCGAGUGGCGGACGGGUGAGGAAUACAUCGGAAUCUACUUUUUCGUGGGGGAUAACGUAGGGAAACUUACGCUAAUACCGCAUACGACCUACGGGUGAAAGCAGGGGAUCUUCGGACCUUGCGCGAUUGAAUGAGCCGAUGUCGGAUUAGCUAGUUGGCGGGGUAAAGGCCCACCAAGGCGACGAUCCGUAGCUGGUCUGAGAGGAUGAUCACCCACACUGGAACUGAGACACGGUCCAGACUCCUACGGGAGGCAGCAGUGGGGAAUAUUGGACAAAGGGCGCAAGCCUGAUCCAGCCAUACCGCGUGGGUGAAGAAGGCCUUCGGGUUGUAAAGCCCUUUUGUUGGGAAAGAAAAGCAGCAGGUUAAUACCCCGCUGUUCUGACGGUACCCAAAGAAUAAGCACCGGCUAACUUCGUG
rnacentral:rRNA from 1 species